rnacentral:rRNA from 1 species
UACAGAGGGUGCAAGCGUUAAUCGGAGUUACUGGGCGUAAAGGGCGCGUAGGCGGUUAUAUAAGUGAGAUGUGAAAUCCCUGGGCUCAACCUAGGAACUGCAUCUUAUACUGUAUGACUGGAGUAUUGUAGAGGGUAGUGGAAUUUCCGGUGUGGCGGUGAAAUGCGUAGAGAUCGGAAGGAACACCAGUGGCGAAGGCGGCUACCUGGACAAAUACUGACGCUGAGGCGCGAAAGCGUGGGGAGCAAACAGG